rfam:Triticum aestivum genome assembly, contig: Triticum_aestivum_CS42_TGACv1_scaffold_052727_1BS
GGAUGUGAUCAUACCAGCACUAAAGCACCGGAUACCAUCAGAACUCCGAAGUUAACCGUGCUUGGGCGAGAGUAGUACUAGGAUGGGUGACCUUUAAGCGUGCUUGGGCGAGAGUAGUACUAGGAUGGGUGACCUCUUGGGAAGUCCUUGUGUUGCAUUCC